rnacentral:misc_RNA from 1 species
GUAAAGACUGUAAACAUAUUGGAACCUUGAACCUCUGUUUGCCAAGAAGAAGAGCUAAUUUGCUCCACUUCCUGUUUGUCAACCUAUCUAUAAUCGAAAUAGAAUUUCCGCUUUGGCCUCUGAAUAUCGUGAGUUGAAGUGAAUAGCAAGGGCUUGUGGUCCGAGCCCAAGUCAUCCAGAUGCAAAAUUGUUGCCGCCGGAUAAUGUUGCAACCAAGAGAAGCUAGCCAAUCCCCUAUCAAUCCUUUCUUGUAUAUUUCGAGAGCCUCCUCUUCUGUUAUUCCCGGUCAUGGGAGGGCCUUGGAAACCCAAGUCAAGUAAUUCCAUCUUAUCAACAAAAUGCCCGAAGGA